rnacentral:rRNA from 1 species
AGAGUUUGAUCCUGGCUCAGAUUGAACGCUGGCGGUAGGCUUAACACAUGCAAGUCGUGCGAGAAAGUAUCUUCGGAUAUGAGUAGAGCGGCGGACGGGUGAGUAACGCGUAGGAAUCUACCUAGUAGAAGGGGAUAGCCCGGGGAAACCCGGAUUAAUACCGUAUACCUCCUUCGGGAGAAAGAAGGCCUCUCUUUGAAGCUUUCGCUAUUAGAUGGGCCUGCGUAAGAUUAGUUUGUUGGUGAGGUAAAGGCUCACCAAGGCUUCGAUCUUUAGCUGGUCUGAGAGGACGAUCAGCCACAUUGGGACUGAGACACGGCCCAGACUCCUACGGGAGGCAGCAGUGGGGAAUAUUGGACAAUGGGCGCAAGCCUGAUCCAGCCAUACCGCGUGUGUGAAGAAGGCCUUCGGGUUGUAAAGCACUUUAAGCAGGGAGAAAAAGUUAUAAGUUAAUACCUUAUAACCGUGAUGUUACCUGCAGAAUAAGCACCGGCUAAUUCCGUGCCAGCAGCCGCGGUAAUACGGAAGGUGCAAGCGUUAAUCGGAAUUACUGGGCGUAAAGCGCGCGUAGGUGGUUUGUUAAGUUGGAUGUGAAAGCCCUGGGCUCAACCUAGGAACUGCAUCCAAAACUAACUCACUAGAGUACGAUAGAGGGAGGUAGAAUUCAUAGUGUAGCGGUGGAAUGCGUAGAU